GAUGGAGGUCGGAGACGUUUGCGUCGACGGGGCCGCCAAUUUUUCUAUACGCGCAAAUGUCAAAAACCGAUUAGCGCGUGUUUCGUGUAAACGAAGAAGGAUACUAAUACAUAAUGAUGAGGAGGGGGUUGUGGUUGAGGUGGGUUGGCUGGCCUCCGCCUCGAGUUCCCGCAGGAAAUCCAAGGGAUCGAAAAUUUCCUCCGCUGUGGACAUCCCCGCGCCCUCCUCCGCCGGCACGUUCGGAGCCGCCGGCGUCCCUACCAGAGCACUCAACUCCAUCGGCGAGAAUUCCACCGAUUGACCCGUGUUGCUCUGCUCAAGACACAGAGGAAAUUUAAGGACGAAUUACCUGAAGGCACUGGGUCAAAUCCAUUUUUCCGUCAUUGUCAGAGUACCAGAAUAGCUCGUCGUCUAUGAAAGGCAUGUUUGAUUCCUCCUUGGGUACGAGGGUGGAGGUCAGUGUAGGCGUUUGCGAU